rnacentral:rRNA from 1 species
CAUGCAAGUCGAGCGGACAGAUGGGAGCUUGCUCCCUGAUGUUAGCGGCGGACGGGUGAGUAACACGUGGGUAACCUGCCUGUAAGACUGGGAUAACUCCGGGAAACCGGGGCUAAUACCGGAUGGUUGUUUGAACCGCAUGGUUCAAACAUAAAAGGUGGCUUCGGCUACCACUUACAGAUGGACCCGCGGCGCAUUAGCUAGUUGGUGAGGUAACGGCUCACCAAGGCGACGAUGCGUAGCCGACCUGAGAGGGUGAUCGGCCACACUGGGACUGAGACACGGCCCAGACUCCUACGGGAGGCAGCAGUAGGGAAUCUUCCGCAAUGGACGAAAGUCUGACGGAGCAACGCCGCGUGAGUGAUGAAGGUUUUCGGAUCGUAAAGCUCUGUUGUUAGGGAAGAACAAGUACCGUUCGAAUAGGGCGGUACCUUGACGGUACCUAACCAGAAAGCCACGGCUAACUACGUGCCAGCAGCCGCGGUAAUACGUAGGUGGCAAGCGUUGUCCGGAAUUAUUGGGCGUAAAGGGCUCGCAGGCGGUUUCUUAAGUCUGAUGUGAAAGCCCCCGGCUCAACCGGGGAGGGUCAUUGGAAACUGGGGAACUUGAGUGCAGAAGAGGAGAGUGGAAUUCCACGUGUAGCGGUGAAAUGCGUAGAGAUGUGGAGGAACACCAGUGGCGAAGGCGACUCUCUGGUCUGUAACUGACGCUGAGGAGCGAAAGCGUGGGGAGCGAACAGGAUUAGAUACCCUGGUAGUCCACGCCGUAAACGAUGAGUGCUAAGUGUUAGGGGGUUUCCGCCCCUUAGUGCUGCAGCUAACGCAUUAAGCACUCCGCCUGGGGAGUACGGUCGCAAGACUGAAACUCAAAGGAAUUGACGGGGGCCCGCACAAGCGGUGGAGCAUGUGCGUUUAAUUCGAAGCAACGCGAAGAACCUUACCAGGUCUUGACAUCCUCUGACAAUCCUAGAGAUAGGACGUCCCCUUCGGGGGCAGAGUGACAGGUGGUGCAUGGUUGUCGUCAGCUCGUGUCGUGAGAUGUUGGGUUAAGUCCCGCAACGAGCGCAACCCUUGAUCUUAGUUGCCAGCAUUCAGUUGGGCACUCUAAGGUGACUGCCGGUGACAAACCGGAGGAAGGUGGGGAUGACGUCAAAUCAUCAUGCCCCUUAUGACCUGGGCUACACACGUGCUACAAUGGACAGAACAAAGGGCAGCGAAACCGCGAGGUUAAGCCAAUCCCACAAAUCUGUUCUCAGUUCGGAUCGCAGUCUGCAACUCGACUGCGUGAAGCUGGAAUCGCUAGUAAUCGCGGAUCAGCAUGCCGCGGUGAAUACGUUCCCGGGCCUUGUACACACCGCCCGUCACACCACGAGAGUUUGUAACACCCGAAGUCGGUGAGGUAACCUUUUAGGAGCCAGCCGCCGAAG